GAUGAAGAACGUAGCGAAAUGCGAUAAGUAAUGUGAAUUGCAGAAUUCAGUGAAUCAUCGAAUCUUUGAACGCACAUUGCGCCCGCCAGUAUUCUGGCGGGCAUGCCUGUUCGAGCGUCAUUACAACCCUCAGGCCCCCGGGCCUGGCGUUGGGGAUCGGCGGAAGCCCCCUGCGGGCACAACGCCGUCCCCCAAAUACAGUGGCGGUCCCGCCGCAGCUUCCAUCGCGUAGUAGCUAACACCUCGCAACUGGAGAGCGGCGCGGCCACGCCGUAAAACACCCAACUUCUGAAUGUUGACCUCGAAUCAGGUAGGAAUACCCGCUGAACUUAAGCAUAUCAAUAAGCGGAGGA
rnacentral:misc_RNA from 1 species